CUCAAAGCCCUAGUCCCAGAUUUACAGCAACAUGGUGUGCUGUUGAUUUCUCACAAAGAAGCCGUCAAAAACCAGCUCUGAGAAGCUUCUGCUGUGAAAGAAGUGACGUGUUUGCAACUCAGAAGCUAAGGAAGCUGCCAAAAACCAUAAGGUUAAACCAGCUCAGCUAUCUACCUGCUGAUGGAGUCCAGCACUUGAAAGAAACUUAUAAGAGAGGAUGAAGAACAUUGGUCAGGGAAGAAGAGAGGAAGGAGGAGAGGGAAACUUCUCAAGGUUAAGAUUUUCUCUCAAGAAUUUACUCUCAGUUUAUAUACUAUUAUUUUACCCUAUAUACUGUAAUCUGCAUAGUUUGGCCUAGCCUGUGUGUAGAGCAAGUAAUAUUGGCACCUGUUGUUCCUUUACACAGUUAUAUCACUUUUUGUAUCUAGGCAAGAUGAUCUUGUUACAUGUUAUCCAAUGCUUGUUGACCAAUAAAUACAUUUUAAAGAGUCCACACAGUCCUUGAGAAUAGGGCUUCUGAGGCAUGUGGGGCUGGGAAAAGAGGUGUUUUACCUCUUGGUUCAACCUGAUGGAGUUUUGCACAUGCACGCACGCACAGUGGUAAAUGCAGAGUAUUCUCAGCCCCUGACUUCUCACAGUCUACAAGACUCCCAGUCUGUCAUGGUUUUAGCUGGGAUAGAGUUAAUUUUCUUCACUGCAGCUGGCAUAGUGCUGUGCUUUGGACGUAGUAUCAAAACAAUCUUGAUAACACACCGAUGUUUUGGUUGCUGCUGGGUAGUGCUUUUCUAGCUUCCCAAGCUCUGCUGGGCGCACAAGAAGCUGGGAGGGGAGGGGGCGCAGCCAAGAGAGCGGAUUCAAACUGGCCAAAGGGAUAUUCCAUAUCAUGUAACGUCAUGCCCAGUAUGUUACCUGGGAGGGGCUGGCCGGGGGAGGGAAGCGGCAAUCACUGCUCAGGGACAGGCAGCAUCAGUCAGCGGGUGGUGAGUGGUGGUAUCAUUUUUAUUUCUUUUUUUUCCCUUCUCCUUUUUAUUAUAUUAUCAUUAUUGUUAUUAUUAUCAUAAUAGUUAUUAUAACUAUAAUUAUUAUUUUACUGUAAUUAUUAAACUGUUCUUAUCUCAACCCACAAGUUGUUGUUUUGUGCUUUUGUUCUUCCGAUUCUCAUCCCCCAUCCCACAGGGGUGGGGGGAGUGAGCGAGCGGCUGCGUGGUGUUUAGUUGCCAACUAAGGCUGAACCAUGACACAGUCUUUCCUAACCUCAGGUCAACUUCAAAUUCUAGUUGCAAAAGAGAAGCUUAGGUAACUGCCUGGAGUUUUUAUGAUGGUGAUAUAGCUAAAUCAUUACAGAUGAAUUUCAUAAGCUGUGUGAUAAAACUUAUGCCAUCUUAUGAUGUCAGGCAAUGGCUAGCUCUCUCAUCUUGUUCAUUUCUGCAGUAAGUUCCCAACUGAUUUUUCCUGACAUAGGGACUACAGU